GUUAGUUGUGGCCGAGUGGUCAAGGCGAUGGACUCGAAAUCCAUUAGGGUUCCCCACGCAGGUUAGAAUCCUGCCAACUACG